GUAGAGAAGUUGGAAUUAAGGCUAGCUUCCUCCUAACUCCUUCUCAAGGCUCCAAUUGUGGCAAGCUGCCAGGGCUGAUAGCUUGACUUUGCAGAUUACAUGAAAGAAAUAUGCAACCCUCCAUCCUACCAGUCUUUGAACUUCUGCAAAGGAGGGAAGAUAAAACCUGUACAGGGAGUAGCCAAAGCCUGGAAUUCUACUGAAAACAAAUAGGGUAGUACAGUUAAUUAAAACUGCUGGCUGGCUGGGUUGCUUACAUGUUAUGACUCAAAGUCGACCAGCAUUCGAACGGAGUGCCUUGAUGAGGCCUUAACGAAGCGUGGAGAUGAGGACCCCCAGCAAAAGAUCCCAAGGAGAAGAAUUCUCCGACAGUACCACACAGAGAGUAAACCCUCCAACAAUAUCUGAAGGUUACAGAUCACCACAAACUAGCAAUGCUCUUAACAGAUAUUUGCAUAUGGAAAAACAACUGAGUCUGAUG